rnacentral:rRNA from 1 species
UGGGGAAUAUUGGACAAUGGGGGAAACCCUGAUCCAGCCAUGCCGCGUGCGUGAAGAAGGCCUUAGGGUUGUAAAGCGCUUUCGGCGGGGAAGAUGAUGACGGUACCUCCAAAGGAAGCGCCGGCUAACUCCGUGCCAGCAGCCGCGGUAAGACGGAGGGCGCAAGCGUUGUUCGGAAUUACUGGGCGUAAAGCGCGGGCAGGCGGUCUGUUAAGUCGUUUGUGAAAAUCCGGGGCUCAACCCCGGAAAUGCAUACGAUACUGGCAGGCUGGAGACUGGUAGAGGCUAGCGGAAUUCCUGGUGUAGCGGUGGAAUGCGUAGAUAUCAGGAAGAACACCUGUGGCGAAGGCGGCUAGCUGGGCCAACACUGACGCUCAUGCACGAAAGCGUGGGGAGCAAACAGGAUUAGAUACCCCGGUAGUCCCUGAGCGGGCUGGCAAGGCGCAU